rnacentral:pre_miRNA from 1 species
AUAUUAGAACAAGUAUGUCCAAUUCAAUAUUUUUAAAAUAAUUAUUCUAAAA